rnacentral:tRNA from 1 species
GACCCUAUCGUCUAGUGGCCAAGGACAUUGGGAUUUCAUCCUAAGAACAAAGGUUCAAAUCCUUUUGGGGUCGCCA